CCUAGCUUCCAUAGGCCUUCUCAGUACCUAUCAGAGCGAUUUGGAAUUUCAUGGUUCCAGGAAGUAGCUAAGUAAGUUCUGUAUUCAGCUCUUGUUCUAACUGGCAUAGAGUCCAAAGUGAGCAGGAGUAUUAAUCAAGGAGGAAGAGCCCGUGUAAAUGUGGAAAAACUCCAGGAUUGUGGCUUGGAGGUCACAAAAGUAAGUUGGAACUUCCAGGAACCUCUGCCUGAUGCUUCCAACUUCAAACACACCACCGACUUGCAGGGAACGCUGGCACAGUUGAUUAUUUUCUAAUGGACAUCUACCCAGACUUUCAUGAUCUCGAGGAGAGACAAAUUACUGACUCCGAAGAGCUUCGCCAGCAGAAAGAUGGCACUCACUCACUGGCCUUCACCGAUGGGUUUCUAGUCUGUUCUGGGACGUGAAGAGCAGAAUUGAGACGCCUUCAGCACAUCCAUCUGCCCUGACAUUUGGAUGGGAGUUGGCUCUUGCUGUGACAGGAGCGAAACUGUAUUUUGAAACACCUGUUCUUCAAAUUCCAUGGCUAUGUAGGAUUCCCUAGAGGCUGAGAUAAUAAAAAAUGAUCAAA
rnacentral:lncRNA from 1 species